AGAGUUUGAUCCUGGCUCAGAUUGAACGCUGGCGGCAUGCCUAACACAUGCAAGUCGAACGGAAACGAUGGAGAGCUUGCUCUUCAGGCGUCGAGUGGCGGACGGGUGAGUAAUGCUUAGGAAUCUGCCCAUGUAGUGGGGGACAACCUGGUGAAAACCAGGCUAAUACCGCAUGAGCCCUUCGGGGGAAAGCAGGGGAUCUUCGGACCUUGCGCUAUUGGAUGAGCCUAAGUCGGAUUAGCUUGUUGGUGGGGUAACGGCCUACCAAGGCGACGAUCCGUAGCUGGUCUGAGAGGAUGAUCAGCCACACUGGGACUGAGACACAGCCCAGACUCCUACGGGAGGCAGCAGUGGGGAAUAUUGGACAAUGGGCGAAAGCCUGAUCCAGCAAUGCCGCGUGUGUGAAGAAGGCCUGCGGGUUGUAAAGCACUUUCAGUAGCGAGGAAAAGCUUAAGGUUAAUAACCUUGAGUCUUGACGUUAACUACAGAAGAAGCACCGGCUAGCUCUGUGCCAGCAGCCGCGGUAAUACAGAGGGUGCGAGCGUUAAUCGGAAUUACUGGGCGUAAAGCGCGCGUAGGCGGUUUGUUAAGUCGGAUGUGAAAGCCUGGGCUCAACCUGGGAACUGCAUUCGAAACUGGCAGGCUAGAGUAUGGUAGAGGGAAGUGGAAUUCCGGGUGUAGCGGUGAAAUGCGUAGAUAUCCGGAGGAACAUCAGUGGCGAAGGCGGCUUCCUGGACCAAUACUGACGCUGAGGUGCGAAAGCGUGUGGAGCAAACAGGAUUAGAUACCCUGGUAGUCCACGCCGUAAACGAUGAGAACUAGACGUUGGGUCCAUUUAAGGAUUUAGUGUCGUAGCUAACGCGUGAAGUUCUCCGCCUGGGGAGUACGGCCGCAAGGUUAAAACUCAAAGGAAUUGACGGGGGCCCGCACAAGCGGUGGAGCAUGUGGUUUAAUUCGAUGCAACGCGAAGAACCUUACCUGGCCUUGACAUGCAAGUAGUAGAAGCCUGAAAGGGUAACGACCCCGCAAGGGGAGCUUGCACAGGUGCUGCAUGGCUGUCGUCAGCUCGUGUCGUGAGAUGUUGGGUUAAGUCCCGCAACGAGCGCAACCCUUGUGCCCUGUUGCCACUCCUGCGAGAGCGGGAAGCACUCUGGGCAGACUGCCUCGUCUAAACGGGGAGGAAGGUGGGGAUGACGUCAAGUCAGUAUGGCCCUUACGGCCAGGGCUGCACACGUACUACAAUGCCUGGUACAAUAGGAAGCAAGACCGCAAGGUGGAGCAAAUCCCAUAAAACCAGGCCCAGUUCGGAUUGUCGUCUGCAACUCGACGACAUGAAGCCGGAAUCGCUAGUAAUGGCGCAUCAGCUACGGUGCCGUGAAUACGUUCCCAGGCCUUGUACACACCGCCCGUCACAUCAUGAAAGCCGGCGGUACCCGAAGUCAGUGUGCCAACCGC
rnacentral:rRNA from 1 species